rnacentral:rRNA from 1 species
AUGCAGUCGAGCGGCAGCACGGGUACUUGUACCUGGUGGCGAGCGGCGGACGGGUGAGUAAUGCCUAGGAAUCUGCCUAGUAGUGGGGGAUAACGUCCGGAAACGGGCGCUAAUACCGCAUACGUCCUACGGGAGAAAGUGGGGGAUCUUCGGACCUCACGCUAUUAGAUGAGCCUAGGUCGGAUUAGCUAGUUGGUGAGGUAAUGGCUCACCAAGGCUACGAUCCGUAACUGGUCUGAGAGGAUGAUCAGUCACACUGGAACUGAGACACGGUCCAGACUCCUACGGGAGGCAGCAGUGGGGAAUAUUGGACAAUGGGCGAAAGCCUGAUCCAGCCAUGCCGCGUGUGUGAAGAAGGUCUUCGGAUUGUAAAGCACUUUAAGUUGGGAGGAAGGGCAGUUACCUAAUACGUGAUUGUUUUGACGUUACCGACAGAAUAAGCACCGGCUAACUCUGUGCCAGCAGCCGCGGUAAUACAGAGGGUGCAAGCGUUAAUCGGAAUUACUGGGCGUAAAGCGCGCGUAGGUGGUUUGUUAAGUUGAAUGUGAAAGCCCCGGGCUCAACCUGGGAACUGCAUCCAAAACUGGCAAGCUAGAGUAUGGUAGAGGGGUUGGUGGGAAUUUCCUGUGUAGCGGUGAAAUGCGUAGAUAUAGGAAGGAACACCAGUGGCGAAAGCGACCACCUGGACUGAUACUGACACUGAGUGCGAAAGCGUGGGGAGCAAACAGGAUUAGAUACCCUGGUAGUCCACGCCGUAACGAUGUCAACUAGCCGUUGGGAGCUUGAGCUCUUAGUGCGCA